UACGUAGGGGGCAAGCGUUGUCCGGAUUUAUUGGGCGUAAAGAGCGUGUAGGCGGCCUUACAGGUCAGCUGUGAAAACUCGAGGCUCAACCUCGAGACGUCGGUUGAAACCGUAUGGCUAGAGUCCGGAAGAGGAGAGUGGAAUUCCCGGUGUAGCGGUGAAAUGCGCAGAUAUCAGGAAGAACACCCGUGGCUAAGGCGGCUCUCUAGUACGGUACUGACGCUGAGACGCGAAAGCGUGGGGAGCGAACAGG
rnacentral:rRNA from 1 species